UUUGAAAAACCGGAGAUUGAUGCGCCGCCACUAAUGACAGAUUUUUAUUUGAUCACUGAGGGCUUUUUGUUUAU
rnacentral:snoRNA from 1 species